AAAGGAUAAAGUCAUGGGGCUUACUGGAGACG
rnacentral:scRNA from 1 species